GGUAAUCCAACUCCUACUUCAACCUCCACGUGGUGACACCUGGGCACCCAAUUUAUUGGGUGGCUAACUGAAGAGG
rnacentral:ribozyme from 1 species